rnacentral:misc_RNA from 1 species
AAAACAACCGCGAAAAAGGCCUUUUUUUGUUGUUGUUUUUCUCCCCUCUCUCCCUCUCAACCCCAGGUCCUCAGCGAUUGAAGCGUCUCAUACGUACGCGCACACGCAUACACACACAUACCCAAAUUCAGCAACAGGUCACACCGCACACGCCCCAGUGGGUUUUUGUGUGUCAGCGUCCCUGUUGCGCCCAGCCUGCCAGCACAUCAGCAACAGCCGCAGCGGCAGCGGUCUUCACGCCGACAUAUUCGCUCCCGUGCAUCCAUCGCUCUUUUUUUGGACGAAGUCGCCCCACCCUCCCUCCCUUCUCUCACACGCAGGCACACACCUCCUCAUUUCUCGUCUCCUCUCGAUUGUUCCUCCCCCUCCCUUCUUUGUUUCUCUCUCCCUCUCUGUCUCGUCUCACUCAGUUCCUUUUUCUUUGCGUUAUUGAUAGCUUGAAUCUAAGCGUGUUCCCGUGCACUUUUUAUCUGCGUGUGUGUGUGUGCGCGCGCACGCGCUGCCGUUGCCACUAUCACAGACGCGCACCGCCGUUUGCCACGCGUGUGUGUGUGUGCUGCGUGUGACGGCUAGGGCUGUUUUUUCUUUUUUUUUGCUUUUCUGGUAAGAGGAGGAGGAUACGGCAGCCCUCUACGGUUUAGAUAUUGCCGGGGCUGAACGGCGACACGGUGGCGAGACGCGUGGUGGUUUCACACCGACAGAAACCAAAGGAGACCACUCGACAAAGGAGGGAGAGAGAAGGACAGAACGCGACGCGCUUCUGAGUCGUGGCCGCUUCUCGCAUCUGGCGUUCUUGCCUUUCACAAGAUUCACAUCAACGUCUAUUUUACCCCCCCCCCUCUCCUCGCGCUGUUUGGACCCGCUGUGCGGUCGCUUAG